GCAUCAGUGGCGGAACUGGUAGACGCGCUAGACUCAAAAUCUAGUGAGGUAACACUCGUGCCGGUUCGAUUCCGGCCUGAUGUACAA
rnacentral:tRNA from 1 species